UUAACACAUGCAAGUCGUACGAGAACUCUUUAGCUUGCUAAAGAUAGUAAAGUGGCGCACGGGUGAGUAACGCGUGGGUAAUCUACCUCUGAAUUGGGGAUAACAUUGCGAAAGCGAUGCUAAUACCGGAUAAUAUCUCUUAAGCUUCGGUUUUUGAGAUCAAAGGUGGCCUCUACAUGUAAGCUACUGUUUGGAGAUGAGCCCCCGUACCAUUAGCUUGUUGGUAGGGUAAUGGCCUACCAAGGCCGCGAUGGUUAGCUGGUCUGAGAGGAUGAUCAGCCACACUGGAACUGACACACGGUCCAGACUCCUACGGGAGGCAGCAGUGAGGAAUUUUGCGCAAUGGGGGAAACCCUGACGCAGCAACGCCGCGUGAGUGAUGAAGGCCCUUGGGUCGUAAAGCUCUGUCAAGUGGGAAGAAUAUGUUUGAUGCUAAUACCAUCUUACACUGACGGUACCACUGAAGGAAGCACCGGCUAACUCCGUGCCAGCAGCCGCGGUAAUACGGAGGGUGCAAGCGUUAUUCGGAUUUAUUGGGCGUAAAGGGCGCGUAGGCGGUCUCUUAAGUCAGAUGUGAAAGCCCGGGGCUCAACCCUGGAAGUGCAUUUGAAACUAAGGGACUUGAGUAUGGGAGAGGGAAGUGGAAUUCCUGGUGUAGCGGUGAAAUGCGUAGAUAUCAGGAGGAACACCGGUGGCGAAGGCGACUUCCUGGACCAAUACUGACGCUAAGGCGCGAAGGCUGGGGAGCAAACAGGAUUAGAUACCCUGGUAGUCCACGCAGUAAACGGUGAACACUAGGCGUAGCGGGUAUUGACCCCUGCUGUGCCGCAGCUAACGCAUUAAGUGUUCCGCCUGGGGAGUACGAUCGCAAGAUUAAAACUCAAAGGAAUUGACGGGGACCCGCACAAGCGGUGGAGCAUGUGGUUUAAUUCGACGCAACGCGAAGAACCUUACCUGGGUUUGACAUCCCGAGAAGUCUUUCGAAAGAUUGAUGUGCCCUUCGGGGAGCUCGGAGACAGGUGCUGCAUGGCUUUCGUCAGCUCGUGUCGUGAGAUGUUGGGUUAAGUCCCGCAACGAGCGCAACCCCUAUCUUUAGUUACCAGCGAGUUAAGUCGGGGACUCUAGAGAUACUGCCCCGGUCAACGGGGAGGAAGGUGGGGACGACGUCAAGUCCUCAUGGCCUUUAUGCCCAGGGCUACACACGUGCUACAAUGGGCUGUACAAAGGGUCGCGAACUCGCGAGAGUGAGCCAAUCCCAUAAAACAGCUCCAAGUUCGGAUUGGAGUCUGCAACUCGACUCCAUGAAGCUGGAAUCGCUAGUAAUCGUGGAUC
rnacentral:rRNA from 1 species